GAUGAACGCUGGCGGCGUGCCUAAUACAUGCAAGUCGAGCGAACAGACGAUGAGCUUGCUCCUCUCACGUUAGCGGCGGACGUGUGUGUCACACGUGUAUACCCUACCUAUAUUUCUGGUAUAACUUCGGGAAACCGGAGCUAAUACCGGAUAAUAUAUUGCACCGCAUGGUUCAAUAGUGAAAUACGGUUUUUCUGUCUCUUCUCGAUGGUUCCGCGCCGCAUUAGCUUGUUGGUAAGGUAACGGCUUACCAAGGCAACGAUGCGUAGCCGACGUGAGAGGGUGAUAGGCGACACGGGAACUGAGACACGGACCAGAGUACUACGGGAGGCAGCAGUAGGGAAGCUUCCGCAAUGGGCGAAAGCUUGACGGAGCAACGCCGCGUGAGAGAUGAAGGUGUUCGGAUCGUAAAACUCGGUUAUGAGGGAAGAACAAAUGUGGAAGGAACUAUGCACGUAGUGACGGUAACUAAUCAGAAAGCAACGGCUAACUACGUG
rnacentral:rRNA from 1 species